rnacentral:tRNA from 1 species
GGGUCGGUGGUCUAGUUGGCUAUGAUACCGCAUUGACAGUGCGGUGGUCGGGAGUUCAAGUCUCCCCCGACCCACCA